rnacentral:rRNA from 1 species
UACGGGGGGAGCAAGCGUUGUUCGGAUUUACUGGGCGUAAAGGGCGCGUAGGCGGUCAGCACAAGUCAGUUGUGAAAUCUACGGGCUUAACUCGGAAAGGUCAACUGAUACUGUGCGACUAGAGUGCAGAAGGGGCAACUGGAAUUCUCGGUGUAGCGGUGAAAUGCGUAGAUAUCGAGAGGAACACCUGCGGCGAAGGCGGGUUGCUGGGCUGACACUGACGCUGAUGCGCGAAAGCCAGGGGAGCGAACGGG